CUGAAUGAAGAGAUCAUUUUUUAUUUUGUGCUGAAUCAAUUUAUAAAUCACAAAAUGAGACAAAUAAAACCAAAGGGCAUUAAAAGUGUUGGUAAUUAUUUUUUAUUGCAAAAAUAUCAUUUUAUUUUUUAUUGCAAAAAUAACCACAUGUUUAUUUAUUUUUAAUUUUACACAUUUUUGGUUAAACUAGAUCUCAAGAAUAUAAAAAGGGGUGAAGGGUUUCUUCUCAAACAUUUAAUUAUAUGUUGUAACAAACAGUAUUCAAUAACACAAUUCAAAUAUUUUCUUCUUUUCAUUUCUUCCUCAUAACAUUCUUUUGGAUAUUGAUACAUAGUAUGGUUUCGUAACAUGCACAGGAUUUUUCUUGUUUACGUUUAGUUCUUGAUCAUUCUGUUGUUCAAGAACAUUAAACUAAACCAUUAACAAGCCUAAGAAUGGCUCCAAGAUCCCAAAAACAUUAUAGUCCUCAUGGGAUCUUCUGUACCAGAUCUCUUGUUUCUUCUUUCCAUUUCUUGGGAAACCGAAACCCUCCCUAAUCUAUUAUAACUUUUAGGCUUUGCAGUCAUGGCUACAAUAGUGUUCUCACGUACUUCCUUUAGCAUUUCUCCCAGACGACGUUUAGACUCGUGGAAAAAAGAGCCGUCUUCGGGUAGAUUUUGAGGCUUCAUCUUCGAAAAAUUUGAUGGAUAGAGUAAGAUGUUGAAGCUUGAAAGUUAUCCUCCUUGAAAUUUAUAGGAUUUUGGGAGUGGACAGAUGAGAAUAAAUUAUGAGGCACAACAAAG
rnacentral:lncRNA from 1 species